AGUUUUGGGUCGCCUCUCCAUUAUCUCGUGGUGACGUAAAGGUGACGGCCCGUGUGUUAGUUUUCCCGGUAAUUGUGCCUCCGUAACAUUACUGCGUGCAGUGGUCGUGAGAACUGCGAGGCGGCGGUGCAGACUGUGCCGUGGAGAGCCGCGGGGUGUUGGAAUCGCCUCUCAGUCACCUUGAAGGCGUCAUAUUCCCUCCCUGCUCUUCCCCGUGUCUUCCUGUCGAUGUUGACUCAAAACAGACCACCACCACCACCACCACUACCUAACGCUGUGUCCAGGCUGGAAUGUGUGACCUCUCUGCCAGGAAUGUCACCGUCCUCUCACACUCUGACACCAAGUACCUCACAACAACACCUGCAAUACUACGCUUCUGAGUCCCCCCGGAGUGUGGCUACUGCGAGGCGCUGCUGGCCUUCACACUCCAUCCCCUGCGCCCUCCUGUCAUUACAUCGCCUUUCCAGCGAAGGCAUUACUGCGAUGGUUAUGCGGCUUUUGAGGGGAGUAGCAGCCGCCCAUCGCUGGGAAGGACGCGCCUCACCCUGGCGGCCCUGCUCGGUCCCUUCCACGACUCGCAGCGAGAGAGAGAGGUCGAGGUGCGGCGGUCUCGUGGCGGAAGCCUGAAGGAGGCGGUGAAGGAGUGAAGGUGUGAAGUGUGCAGCUUCCACUUCAUCAUCCCAUGAACAGCCCACAGGAAUCUCUACCAGCACCUGGUUAUUAAACAGUGUUGUCACGCCAGGCCCAAUGUACUCCAUUGCAAUCAGGGAGUCGAGCUUCACCAGGAAAAGAGGCAGAGCGUCACCACCUUCAAGCCCCACAAGAGGUAUUAAGUAUCGUUGGGACAAAGCAAUCAGGGAAGAGUCAAGUUGCAGUAAGAAGAGUGUGUCAAGAAUUUCAAGCAGGAAGAACACGUAAAAUUCCCUUCAAGUCAUGGCGGGACCGACAGGCAACCUUCAACACUUGUGGAGGCACGAGAGCUGCAGGCAGUUUCACAAAGAAGAGGUUGCUCCUCACUCAAGUUGACGCAAGGACACAAGAAUUGGCAAGUGUUGUUGCUCCCAGGCCCUGCUGCAAGAGUUCUCCAGUCCACUCCAGUCUGGGAAGGAAGAAUGUAGCAAGUCCUUCUCUUCUGUACUCAACAACCACCACCACCACCUUCAUUCAGGCUUGGGAUAAGUUUUGUACAUUCCAGCACUUCAGUAAUAAGGAAAAAAAGUGCCAUGUUUAUAUUAUUGUUGUGUAUUUAUUCACUUAACAUUCACAUUAAAACAAUAAACAUUCAGUAUACCAUCUUGAACAUAA